rnacentral:lncRNA from 1 species
GAGAAAGCUGAGCUGCUCUGCAGUCCAGAGCAUGGGGAGUCUGGGAGGAAGUCUGGUGAUGAAGAGGGGCAGGAAAACAGAGACGUGGCCAACUAGAGGAGGCUCCUCAGAGGCUGCUGGGAUGAGGAGUGACAAAAGACCUGCAGCAGUGGCAAGCUAAGUGAGAAGGGAUAAAUGUCCCAUGGAAGUCACUUGGUAUGGUAAUGGCAAAAGAUCUCUGAAUGCAACAAGGUUUAGUGCUCAUUCUUAAGAAGUUUUGUGUAUUGUCCUAGAUAUUGAACAUUGCUGCUGCUCCCAAAACAUUCCUACUAACAAACAUCUUACGUAUGGACUGUUUGAGGUAUUGAGAUAAAAGAGAAUGACUUCUGUUUUGAGGACUGUGUGAGGAGUAGAGAAGAGACCAGGUGCCUUGAGAAAUACAGAAGGGAGAUGAGAAGGAAGGAGGCCUGAGUUUCUCAAACCCUGCACAUUCCCCAGAAAUGACUAUUUUCAGGACUGACCGUUGGCUAGUUCUUGGGAAGCAAAUGCUGAGUUUUGGAAUGUUCUGCCUGGGAAGAGUGUUUUUGUACGGCUGAGGCCUUACGCCACAUGGCACCGGUUGAACAGCUUGUUAAUGCUAGCAAUGUGAUUUAUGUUGAAUGCCUAAUUCUGCUCUGGAGAACUGGAAUCUGAGUAUCUGAGUUCAGCCAUAUAAAUGCUUCAGGUCUGCAGGACUGGCUCCCAACAAGAACCCUGGACACAAAGGCUCAGACCUGCAGUGACCUGCUGCUACCAGAACUGACUCGCUUCAAAGUGACGGAUGAAACCCAUAUGGAGAUAUUCCUGGGGUGGGUAGGCCAGUUGGAAGACAGAGUGUUUACACCUGAGAGAGGACUUGAGGAAAAGCAGUUGAAAUACCAUUAGUUAACAGAUUGCCCAAUGAAGUCGAUGACAACUGUGAUAACAAGUUACUCACUAUCACAGCGUCUCCAAGAGAUGAACAGUGGAUGAUGCUUCCAAAGCACAGAUGUCCCUCUCCUCCUCAACCUUCUCUCCCCAGAAAGAUGUCAACACUGUGGAGAUUGUGCUAUGAAGAUACCUGGUGUGGCAUUGCAAUAGAUGAAAUAUUAAGGGCAAUUCAACAAUUUUCUGAACAAAUACAUGGAUUUAACUUGAAGUUGAAUUUAAUUUGACUUCAAGAAAAAUUAUAUUUCUGGUCCUCCUAUGAUCAUGCACUAAGAAUUAUUUAACUGCAGAUACAAUUGUUACCUUUAGAGCUAGAAGGCCUCAUUUUAGAAUUAAAAUGAAUGGCAACCCAGACAGAUAAAGUCGAGUCGUGAUCAUCCCACUGCGGAGGCAGAGCCAGUGCUGGCCAUCCCCCGACCACCCCAACACACUCCAGGUCUCACACAUUUAAUCUCUCUCUCUGCCAAGGGAAUUUUUUCUUUCCAUUUAUUCUUAGAAACAACUAAGGGAGUUUUAAGUUAAAUACAUGCUGCCAAAUUGAAUCCAAGGAAACUAAAGUCAAAUAUAUUAGCAAACACUUAAUGUCCUCUCCAUUUUGACAUUUCUCCCUCAAUUCCUAUUUCUGAGUAAAGGCUGUUCAGAUGAAUAAAAACAUAUUUUCAGAAAUCUGAGCUCAUAAGACCUAUAGGUCUGUGAAGUCACAGACCGUGCACUGUCAGCAGUCAGCAAUUCUGCUGGGUUGAAUUGGCAUGUUUCAAACUAUGUAUUUUUGUUAAAAAAAAAAAAAAAGGUGUGUAAAUGCAUUUACAAAAUAGUUUGUACUCUUUCCCAGUAAUUCAUAGUUGCCUUCACAGCACCCAGUUCCGGAUUUCACACCAAGCCUUUGCUGAGGAUAUGAGAGUAAUAAAAAGGGGAGCCCUGGUUCUUCCUCUCCUUUAGUGUCUUUCCUGGAAGUGGACUGCGAGAAGAGCUUCUUCAGCCACCUUCUGCCUGCAGACAACCUCCAUGAGUUUGCUUUAGAAGAAGGCUUCAAUUUGAAGAAAGUCAAAUAAAACAAGGUAGACUAUCAUUCCCAUAGAUGCAAAAGAAGGUGAACCCAGAUUCAGAUCCUAAGUCAGCCAUUCUGCAGGGAACUCUUAGGUGUCCAGGUCAGAGGCUCUACUCAAACUGCCUCAUCAAUAUUGAUUCCUCAGUUGUUGCAAAUAUACCACACUCAUGCACGUUGUUAAUAAUAAAAGGGGAACUGUAGAGGACGGGGUGGUGUAUAUGAGAACUCUGUACUUUCUGUGUAAUUUUUCUAUAAACCUAAAAUAGCUCUAAAAAUAAAGUUUAUUCAGAAACAAAAAAAUUAAUCAUCUAUCCUGAG